rnacentral:rRNA from 1 species
AGAAUCAACGCUGGCGGCGUGCCUAACACAUGCAAGUCGCACGAGAAAGGGUAGCAAUACCUGAGUACAGUGGCGCACGGGUGAGUAACACGUGAAUGAUCUACCUCCGAGUGGGGAAUAACCUAGGGAAACCUGGGCUAAUACCGCAUAACACUUACGAGUCAAAGCAGCAAUGCGCUUGGAGAGGAGUUCGCGGCAGAUUAGCUAGUUGGCGGGGUAAUGGCCCACCAAGGCAAUGAUCUGUAUCCGGCCUGAGAGGGCGCACGGACACACUGGAACUGAAACACGGUCCAGACUCCUACGGGAGGCAGCAGUGGGGAAUUUUGCGCAAUGGGGGAAACCCUGACGCAGCAACGCCGCGUGGAGGAUGAAAUCCCUUGGGAUGUAAACUCCUUUCGAUCGGGACGAUUAUGACGGUACCGGAAGAGAAGCCCCGGCUAACUUCGCGCCAGCAGCCGC